GACGAACGCUGGCGGCGUGCUUAACACAUGCAAGUCGAACGAUGAAGCCGGAGCUUGCUCCGGUGGAUUAGUGGCGAACGGGUGAGUAACACGUGAGCAAUCUGCCCUUGACUCUGGGAUAACUGCGGGAAACUGUAGCUAAUACCGGAUACGACACCUUGGGGCAUCCCAGGGUGUGGAAGGAGUUUCGGUCAAGGAUGAGCUCGCGGCCUAUCAGCUAGUUGGUGAGGUAAUGGCUCAGCAAGGCGACGACGGGUAGCCGGCCUGAGAGGGUGACCGGCCACACUGGAACUGAGACACGGUCCAGACUCCUACGGGAGGCAGCAGUGGGGAAUAUUGCACAAUGGGCGAAAGCCUGAUGCAGCAACGCCGGGUGAGGGAUGAAGGCCUUCGGGUUGUAAACCUCUUUUAGCAGGGAAGAAGCGAAAGUGACGGUACCUGCAGAAAAAGCACCGGCUAACUACGUGCCAGCAGCCGCCGUAA
rnacentral:rRNA from 1 species